AUCACUUCUUGGCCUUUUGGCUAAGAUCAAGUGUAGUUCUUUUUUCCAAUGAAUUCAUAGUAUUAUUAGGAAAUAAAACAAACAAUUUCACAUUAU
rnacentral:snRNA from 1 species